CGGUGGGGUGGGAUGGGGCUGGGGGGAAGCGGGUGCUGCACCCACAUCCCAGUGAGUCUUUCUGGACUCUCCAGGGCUCAGCCGUGCAGGUGGCAGCUCAGGGAAGGAGCCAGGCGGUCGGGUUGUGACUCCCGGGCUGUGCCUCCCUCGGGGUGAACACGGCCAGGGCAAAGGAUCCAGCCCCGAUCCCAGGCUGCUACAUCUGUAUCCCCAUCCUGACAAAUCUGGAGGGUCAGCAGCCCUGAGGACAGCCUUCCUGGGGCCAGUAUCCCUGUGACAGCUCCCCACCAUCAACCUCCUUGGGACUGGCAUCCCUGGAACAGCAUCCCAGAGAAGAACAUCCCUGGUGCCUCCAGCUCGAGCUGGGGAGCCACGAUCAGGGUUUCCCAGAGCUGAAGGGAAGAUCCUUUCCCUGCGGGACAGCCCCGGCAUCACCUGCCCUGCAUCCCUGCGGGGAAACGGAGGUGAGGGACGGCACAGCCGGCAUCACCCGGAUCACCCAUCCCCAAAACACCCAUCCCCCGUGCUGGGGGCACAGAGAGCGGGCAGGCAGUGCUGGCAGCACCGGGGGUCCCCCGGGAUCUGCUUUAUCCUGGCUAACAGACCACCGGGAUCCCGGCAGCAUCCCCUGCCGUGGUGCGGGAUGGGGACAGGGAUGGGGACAGGGACGGGGACAGGGAUGGGGACAGGGAUGGGGACAGGGAUGGGGAACCCACAGCCCCACAGUUUCUCUCUGGCUUUCUGUCAGGCACCGUCUGGAUCUGGCCAUUUAUGUUUGGGGAUGUCAGGGGGGAAAAAAACCCAGGCUAAAGGUCCCAGCAAUGGGAGAUACCAGAGCAGGAAAUUAAUGUUAAUUAAUUCGUAAUGACGCUGAGAUAGUGAUACCAGAUGCUUCAAAAGUCCAACGGGGGAAUCUGAAAGAGCUUUGCAAGAAAUCCAUCGCCCACCAGCAGUCCUGCCUCGCUGCAAGCUGGGAACAAGGGAGUGAGCUGGGAACCAGGAUCAAGCUGGGACUGGAAGACCACACUGGAACUAGGGAACAAGCUAGGAAUGAGCCAGGAAUGGUGAAAGAGGGGCACAUCCCUGUGAGGUGACAAGCCCACAGUCACCCAGAGCUGUGGAGAGCAGGGAUCCUGCCACCUGCCACCACCUUUCUCCCUUCCAGCCCAACUCAGAAGCUGGAGUGGAGCUGGAGUGACAAGACUCCUGCCACACUCUUCUCCCUGGGGCACAGGGGCUUCCUGAGACCCUUAAAGCUGGUUUUUUCCCUCUCCUUCCCUCCAUUUAGGGCACACCAGGUUCAGGGCAGGUGGCUGGGCAUGCACUGGGCACUCAGGGGCCCAAGGGGGAUGGAGGGACAGGCUCAUGGUCUGGGACACACUGCCAAAUUACCCCCACACUCGGAGGACAAUUUCCUCCCUCCUCAUCCAUGCCAGCCUGCCUUGCCCUGCACUGCCAAACACAAACUGGACUGGAUUUUAGCUGAGGGGUGCAAAAGAGCCUAGAAAGGGGUUUGAGCCCAGAGCCACCUCCCCAGGGCUGGGGAUGCCACAGCCAGCACUGGGAAGGGUGCAACCAAGAACUCUGCAAAAAGCACAGGGAAACCCUUGGGCUUGGAGCCGUUUGCCCUGACAGGGGAGGUUCUGCUCCUUCCCACAGUGACACAGCAGCACCUGCACCCAGAGGGGACCCUCAGAGCCGGGAAUUGAGGUGGCCGAGGCCACACAGGGCCUGGCAGAGCACGGUGGCACGGCUGGGGCACGGCACUGCCAUCACUGCUUACAUAAGGUGUCCCCUCCAAGUGCCAGCACCGAGCGGUGACAGGAGAGCAGGACAGAACUGUCCCUCCAGCAACCCCUCACAGAGACAGCGCUCCCACUGCUUCUGGAGACAGCACCCCCAAAACUGCCAACCCGGCCUCCUUCCCCCUGCACAGAGGUUGGGUGAGGCUCCCGUGUCUCUCAAGCACAUUCACACCCUAAAAGCCCCUCAGAGCUGGUAGGAAUUGGGGUGGGAAUGCCGGGUUUUGGCUCACGGCGCGGUUCCCCCGACAGCUCCUCCGAAGUUUAUCUGCAGCAGGAGAGGUUUGUGCUGCGCUGCCGGUGAAGCCACCCCAGCCAGCAGGAGAGGGGAAAACCCCACUGUGAGCAGCACGGAAAACUACAGAGCACCACGGCACCAGAGUCAGGGAGACACCAAAAUCCCACCCCAGCUGGUCCCAAGGGACUUGUCGUAACCCCCUGGGUUAUUCCAGGGCUAAGGAAAAAACUACUUCGACUUCACAGGGCUGCAAUAGGUGGAAGUGAUUGACUCACUAUGAGACUGCUGUUUUUGCCUCUGACUUGGGAUUAAGACGGAGCUGGAGGAGCGGAGGAGCCGUCGUCGGCAGGCACCGGAGCCGGCACUUACCUCUCACUGCAUCCAGCCCCUCCGGCCGUGGGGCUGCAGCUCCUGGAGAGUUAGCUGGCAGGGGACCCCACAUCCACUCGGGUUUCUCCCAGGACCGACGUUUGGCUGCUGCUUCUUAGGCACAGACCCAACCCCUCCAUUCCAACCACAGGGGGGAAAAAAGAAAUCUUCUUCCCAAAGAAAAAAAAAAAAAAAAAAAAAGAGAAAUAAAAAUAAAAAAUAAAAAUAAAAAAGGAGGGAGAUUAAAAAAAAA